rnacentral:rRNA from 1 species
GACGAACGCUGGCGGCGUGCUUAACACAUGCAAGUCGAACGGAAAGGCCCUGCUUUUGUGGGGUGCUCGAGUGGCGAACGGGUGAGUAACACGUGAGUAACCUGCCCUUGACUUUGGGAUAACUUCAGGAAACUGGGGCUAAUACCGGAUAGGAGCUCCUGCUGCAUGGUGGGGGUUGGAAAGUUUCGGCGGUUGGGGAUGGACUCGCGGCUUAUCAGCUUGUUGGUGGGGUAGUGGCUUACCAAGGCUUUGACGGGUAGCCGGCCUGAGAGGGUGACCGGCCACAAUGGGACUGAGAUACGGACCGGACUGCUACGGGAGGCAGCAGUGGGGAAUAUUGCACAAUGGGCGGAGGCCUGAUGCAGCAACGCCGCGUGGGGGAUGACGGCCUGCGGGUUGUAAACCGCUUUCGCCUGGGAAGAAGCGUGAGUGACGGUAAUGGGUAAAGAAGCACCGGCUAACUACGUG